UCCAAGCGUCGCCAGCCUCGGGAUUGCCG
rnacentral:misc_RNA from 1 species